rnacentral:rRNA from 1 species
UGAGUACGAGCUGCUACGGCAGCGAAGUGGGUGAUGUCAAGCUUCCAAGAAAAGCCCUAUACCCGUUAAGGCAUGAUGGCCUGUACCCGAAACCGACACAGGUGGGGUGGUAGAGAAUACCGAGGGGCGCGAGAUAACUCUCUCUAAGGAACUCGGCAAAAUGGCCCCGUAACUUCGGGAGAAGGGGUGCCACCGCAAGGUGGUCGCAGUGAAGAGGCCCAGGCGACUGUUUACCAAAAACACAGGUCUCCGCUAAGUCGCAAGACGAUGUAUGGGGGCUGACGCCUACCCAGUGCCGGAAGGUUAAGGAAGCUGGUCAGCGUAAGCGAAGCUAGCGACUGAAGCCCCGGUGAACGGCGGCCGUAACAAUAACGGUCCUAAGGUAGCGAAAUUCCUUGUCGGGUAAGUUCCGACCCGCACGAAAGGCGUAACGAUCUGGGCGCUGUCUCGGAGAGAGGCUCGGCGAAAUAGAGUUGUCUGUGAAGAUGCGGACUACGUGCACCCGGACAGAAAGACCCUAUGAAGCUUUACUGUAGCUUGGUAUUGUGCUCGGGCUCGGAAUGCGCAGGAUAGGUGGGAGGCUAUGAACCAUUGCUUGUGGGUGAUGGUGAGCCACUGGUGAGAUACCACUCUUUCCGAGCUAGAGUUCUAACAGCCACCCGUUAUCCGGGGGCUGGACAGUAUCAGGUGGGCAGUUUGACUGGGGCGGUCGCCUCCUAAAAGGUAACGGAGGCGCGCAAAGGUUUGCUCAGGCUGGUUGGAAAUCAGCCGACGAGUGUAAAAGCAGAAGCAAGCUUGACUGUGAGACCUACAAGUCGAACAGGGAGGAAACUCGGCUUUAGUGAUCCGACGGUUCUGCGUGGAAGGGCCGUCGCUCAACGGAUAAAAGUUACUCUAAGGAUAACAGGCUGAUCUCCCCCAAGAGUUCACAUCGACGGGGAGGUUUGGCACCUCGAUGUCGGCUCAUCGCAACCUGGGGCUGAAGUCGGUCCCAAGGGUUGGGCUGUUCGCCCAUUAAAGCGGUACGCGAGCUGGGUUCAGAACGUCGUGAGACAGUUCGGUCCAUAUCCGGUGCAUGCGCAGGAAUAUUGAGAGGAUUUCUCCCUAGUACGAGAGGACCGGGAGGAACGCACCUCUGGUGUACCAGUUAUCGUGCCAACGGUAAACGCUGGGUAGCCAUGUGCGGAGUGGAUAACCGCUGAAAGCAUCUAAGUGGGAAGCCCACCUCAAGAUGAGUAUUCCCAUGGGGUAACCCAGUAAGGUCACGGGAAGAACACCCGUUGAUAGGCUCUACGUGGAAGCGCAGUAAUGUGUGAAGCGGAGGAGUACUAAUAGACCGAGGGCUUGACC